AAUGAACGCUGGCGGCAUGCCUAACACAUGCAAGUCGAACGAGACCUUCGGGUCUAGUGGCGCACGGGUGCGUAACGCGUGGGAAUCUGCCCUUGGGUUCGGGAAUAACAGUUAGAAAUGACUGCUAAUACCGAAUGAUGUCGUAAGACCAAAGAUUUAUCGCCCAGGAUGAGCCCGCGUAAGAUUAGGUAGUUGGUGUGGUAAAGGCGCACCAAGCCGACGAUCUUUAGCUGGUCUGAGAGGAUGAUCAGCCACACUGGGACUGAGACACGGCCCAA
rnacentral:rRNA from 1 species